rnacentral:rRNA from 1 species
UGGGGAAUUUUGGACAAUGGGGGAAACCCUGAUCCAGCCAUCCCGCGUGUGCGAUGAAGGCCUUCGGGUUGUAAAGCACUUUUGGCAGGAAAGAAACGUCGCGGGUUAAUACCCCGCGAAACUGACGGUACCUGCAGAAUAAGCACCGGCUAACUACGUGCCAGCAGCCGCGGUAAUACGUAGGGUGCAAGCGUUAAUCGGAAUUACUGGGCGUAAAGCGUGCGCAGGCGGUUCGGAAAGAAAGAUGUGAAAUCCCAGAGCUUAACUUUGGAACUGCAUUUUUAACUACCGGGCUAGAGUGUGUCAGAGGAAGGUGGAAUUCCGCGUGUAGCAGUGAAAUGCGUAGAUAUGCGGAGGAACACCGAUGGCGAAGGCAGCCUCCUGGGAUAACACUGACGCUCAUGCACGAAAGCGUGGGGAGCAAACAGGAUUAGAUACCCUGGUAGUCCACGCCCUAAACGAUGUCAACUAGCUGUUGGGGCCUUCGGGCCUUGGUAGCGCAGCUAACGCGUGAAGUUGACCGCCUGGGGAGUACGGUCGCAAGAUUAAAACUUAAAGGAAUUG